CAUAUAGAUAUAUAUGUGUAUAUAUCUACCUGUGUGUGUGUGUAUGCAUACACACACAUACAUAUAUGUAUAUACAUACA
rnacentral:miRNA from 1 species